GACUGCGGAGGAUCAUUAAGAGACGUUGCCCUUCGGGGUAUACCUCCCACCCAUUGUUUAUUAUACCUUUGUUGCUUUGGCAGACCCGGCUUCGGCCCACCGGCUCCGGCUGGUCAGUGUCUGCCAGAGGACCUAAAACUCUGUUUGUUAAUAUUGUCUGAGUACUAUAUAAUAGUUAAAACUUUCAACAACGGAUCUCUUGGUUCUGGCAUCGAUGAAGAACGCAGCGAAAUGCGAUAAGUAAUGUGAAUUGCAGAAUUCAGUGAAUCAUCGAAUCUUUGAACGCACAUUGCGCCCUCUGGUAUUCCGGGGGGCAUGCCUGUUCGGGCGUCAUUACAACCCUCAAGCUUUGCUUGGUAUUGGACAUUGCCAGUUUCUGGCAGGUCUUAAAAUCAGUGGCGGUGCCAUUUGGCUUCAAGCGUAGUAAUUCUUCUCGCUUUGGAGAUCCAGGUGGUUACUUGCCAAUAACCCCCAAUUUUUUCAGGUUGACCUCGGAUCAGGUAGGGAUACCCGCUGAACUUAAGCAUAUCAAUAAGCGGAGGA
rnacentral:rRNA from 1 species